rnacentral:lncRNA from 1 species
UGCAGUCCAGCUCUCCCAGCACUUACCUUAAUUGAAAUAUUCUCUGUGAAGGAGGUGAGAAAUCAGUCAAAUCAACCGUGAAUGGGGUGGGGAGAUGGAAGUUUUCGAUCAACACCCUCCAAGUAGCUGCCUGCGGGGCGUCUUUUUCCUGUUUAUGUAGAGCCCCUCACUGUCUGCGAGGACAAAAAGAUAAGCUGAAAUCCUCAGAGGUUCCAGUGAGUAAAUGAGGACUAAGCGAUGUUUCCUAACGGGAGAUCCUCCGCAAGCAUGCUGCGUUUGGUGGCUCCCUAACUGCUGUGAUAGGCUCCUGUCAGGUCCCUGGAGCCCGGCGAUAAUCAUUGACCUGAUUAGCAGGGAACACUCCCUGUGCGCAGGCAACACACGCGGAGGGUUGGUGGGUCCCCUGGGAAUCGGAAAAAGGCACCAAGGCCACUUGGGAAUCUUGUCUUUUCCAGCCUAAUGGAUGAACUACAGCUAGGAGUAUAAUGUGCAAGGAGAUGAGCCACAGUGUUAAGCCAUCGGAGGACUUUAAGAAAUGUGCUUUCUCCUGCUGUUUUGCAAGGUGCAUUCCUGUUAGAGAUCAGGUACAGUGAAACAAUUAAUAGCCUGAUAGAGCGGAUUUGUAAGAAAAGCCUAAAGCUGAAAAAUGUUUAAAGCGAUGUGAUAAAAGAGAUAGCUGCAUUUGUCUUUGCUCCGAGCCUGGUACAUACUUCAACCUAUGUCUACGUAAAAUGAAUUUAGAGGUUUAUCGCAGCCCUCCAGAGUGCAACUCUCUGAUUUAUUAAAAGUAUUCAUACUAAAUAAGCUGGUUUGGCAGUUUCUUACAGACACGAACACUCAAACCAAGGCAUGGAGAAUACAGCAUCGCUUGUGUAGUUUUUCAAAGAGCAUGUUAAGUUAGCAACAGACUUACAGAAAUGUUUGCAUUAUACUAUUAACCCGAGUAACGUGGGGGAGUA